GAUGAACGCUAGCGAUAGGCUUAACACAUGCAAGUCGAGGGGCAGCAUGGUCUUAGCUUGCUAAGACUGAUGGCGACCGGCGCACGGGUGCGUAACGCGUAUGCAACUUGCCUCACAGAGGGGGAUAACCCGUCGAAAGACGGACUAAUACCGCGUACACUCCAUCUUGGGCAUCCAAGGUAGAGGAAAUGAAAUUCGCUGUGAGAUAGGCAUGCGUCCCAUUAGCUAGUUGGUGAGGUAACGGCUCACCAAGGCGACGAUGGGUAGGGGAACUGAGAGGUUGAACCCCCACACUGGUACUGAGACACGGCCCAGACUCCUACGGGAGGCAGCAGUGAGGAAUAUUGGUCAAUGGGCGAGAGCCUGAACCAGCCAAGUCGCGUGAAGGAUGACUGUCUUAUGGAUUGUAAACUUCUUUUAGACGGGAAUAACAAGAGUCACGUGUGACUCCCUGCAUGUACCGCAUGAAUAAGCAUCGGCUAACUCCGUG
rnacentral:rRNA from 1 species